UGCAGUUUUACAUGUGUAUUAGUAUUUAAGUUUCAACUGCAAACUGCUUUCACAAAUGUUGUAAUAAGAAUGAAGUUUGUGUGUUAGUUUUUCUUUGACUAUUUCCAUUUCUGAAUUGCUCAGUGUAUUCCGGUACUAGUUGUAAUAUAAAGAUUUUCGUUUUAAUUAUGGAAUAUGGUAGUACAGCAGAUCACUUGAUGCAUGCCGAGACGGAAAUUCACAUUCCUACAACUUGGGAAAGUAUCAACAUCUUACAUUAAACAAUGGACUAGAAGAUUCUGAUAAUAAUAAUGGUUUUAUGCAAUAUGGCAGUAUAAUAGUAGAUCACACAAGGCAUGCUGAGACAUUUAUUAACAUUUUCGGAAUUUGGGAAAGUUUCAACAUCCCACAUUGAACAUGGACUUGAAGAUUCUGAUAAUAAUAAUGAUUUUAUGCAAUGUACUUGUAAUGAAUAUAAAAUGUAAUUGAUAGUAAAUUAAUAGUAGUGUAUCAAUUGAAAUUUGUGAAAAAUAUGAAUAUAGUAUUGGUAAUCAAAA